UACGUAGGGUGCGAGCGUUAAUCGGAAUUACUGGGCGUAAAGAGCUCGUAGGCGGUGUGUCGCGUCGGCCGUGAAAACCUGCAGCUUAACUGUGGGCGUGCGGUCGAUACGGGCAUCACUGGAGUUCGGCAGGGGAGACUGGAAUUCCUGGUGUAGCGGUGAAAUGCGCAGAUAUCAGGAGGAACACCGGUGGCGAAGGCGGGUCUCUGGGCCGAUACUGACGCUGAGGAGCGAAAGCGUGGGGAGCGAACAGG
rnacentral:rRNA from 1 species